rnacentral:rRNA from 1 species
AGCGAACGCUGGCGGCAGGCCUAACACAUGCAAGUCGAACGAACCUUUCGGGGUUAGUGGCGGACGGGUGAGUAACACGUGGGAACGUGCCUUUAAGUUCGGAAUAACUCAGGGAAACUUGUGCUAAUACCGAAUGUGCCCUUCGGGGGAAAGAUUUAUCGCCUUUAGAGCGGCCCGCGUCUGAUUAGCUAGUUGGUUGAGGUAAUGGCUCACCAAGGCGACGAUCAGUAGCUGGUCUGAGAGGAUGAUCAGCCACAUUGGGACUGAGACACGGCCCAAACUCCUACGGGAGGCAGCAGUGGGGAAUCUUGCGCAAUGGGCGAGAGCCUGACGCAGCCAUGCCGCGUGAAUGAUGAAGGUCUUAGGAUUGUAAAAUUCUUUCACCGGGGACGAUAAUGACGGUACCCGGAGAAGAAGCCCCGGCUAACUUCGUG